UGGGGCAUAGCUCUAUGGUAGAGCGUGUGCUUAGCAUGCAUGAAGCCCUGGGUUCAAUCCUCAGUACCUCUA
rnacentral:tRNA from 1 species